AUCAAGACAAAGACAUAUCAAUGGAAGUAGAGGGACAUGAUGAAAUGAGUCCACUCAUGGAAUUGCCAUUCCAUGGAGCUGAUGAAGUGGAAUCUGCAACCAUGGGCGCGACAAACAAGAGUCGGCUUUUAGUACAUCGGGACGUGUACUUGAUGGCUUUCGAAGUUCUUUGACUCCUAGAGUGGUGGAAGGUUUAAUUUGUACUCAAGAUUGGUUGAGAGCUGUUCGCGUGCCAAUUAAUGUUGAAGAGUGCAUCGAGAAUGCGGAACAAUUUGAGGCGGAUUUGGAUUGUCUUACCAAGGACAUUAUCAUUGGAAAAUAAACUUCAUUUUGUCGAAACUCCAAUUUUGUGGUUUUUGUCAGAGAUUUUGUACCACGUGGAACGCAAGGCCGAAGAAGGAGAAGAAGAUCGAGCACAUGAAGGACAAUGUUGAUAUGUGAUCAGCCAAAAAUUGUAUUACAACUAGUUAAUUGGCUAAAUUGCUAGCUUGUAUAUUACUGGAAUAUGAGAAACUCGAUGUAUUUUGUGGGAUAUGGGGAUGCGAGAUGGUCGAAUUAUAUACUUGGUUGUUUUUUUCAA